GUAGGUGGCAAGCGUUGUCCGGAAUUAUUGGGCGUAAAGCGCGCGCAGGUGGUUCUUUAAGUCUGAUGUGAAAGCCCCCGGGCUCAACCGGGGAGGGUCAUUGGAAACUGGGGAACUUGAGUGCGGGAGAGGAAAGUGGAAUUCCACGUGUAGCGGUGAAAUGCGUAGAUAUGUGGAGGAACACCAGUGGCGAAGGCGACUUUCUGGCCUGUAACUGACACUGAGGCGCGAAAGCGUGGGGAGCAAACAGGAUUAGAUACCCUGGUAGUCCACGCCGUAAACGAUGAGUGCUAAGUGUUGGGGGGUUUCCGCCCCUCAGUGCUGCAGCUAACGCAUUAAGCACUCCGCCUGGGGAGUACGGUCGCAAAGACUGA
rnacentral:rRNA from 1 species